AACGAACGCUGGCGGCAUGCCUAACACAUGCAAGUCGAACGAAGGCUUCGGCCUUAGUGGCGCACGGGUGAGUAACGCGUAGGAAACUGCCUAUUGGUGGGGAAUAACGACGGGAAACUGUCGCUAAUACCGCAUAAGCCCUUCGGGGGAAAGAUUUAUCGCCGAUAGAUGUGCCCGCGUCCGAUUAGCUAGUUGGUGAGGUAAUGGCUCACCAAGGCGACGAUCGGUAGCUGGUCUGAGAGGAUGAUCAGCCACACUGGGACUGAGACACGGCCCAGACUCCUACGGGAGGCAGCAGUGGGGAAUAUUGGACAAUGGGCGAAAGCCUGAUCCAGCAAUGCCGCGUGAGUGAUGAAGGCCUUAGGGUUGUAAAGCUCUUUCGGGUGGGACGAUGAUGACGGUACCACCAGAAGAGGCCCCGGCUAACUUCGUGCCAGCAGCCGCCGUAA
rnacentral:rRNA from 1 species